CACGGCUUCUGCGAAGCGCUCCAGGGCAAAGCCCAUGUUAGGGAUGGGGAAGAAAGGGGGAGCGAAAGCAGAGUCCGUCUUCUCCGAGCCCCCCUGCCUUCCCCGGGCCACCCCCGGGGCAGCCGUCUCGCGGCGGCGGCAGUGGAGGGAGGUGGCGGGUGGGAGGUGUGAUCUCACUGUUUGUUUGGCUUGAAGUUUUCAGGCUCCUGCUAGGUCCCCUGAUUUCGCCCGUAUUGACGCUAAUAGAAGUAACCUCCAGAGACCCCCGCCUCCUUCGUUGCCCUGCGAUUUAUGUUCUUUCAAAUUUUGGCCGCCCAGCUUACAAUGGUCCUUGGGAACACUGUGUUCUCCUUCGCCUGAACAGUGAACUUCAAGCAUCGAGGCGCCUCGCCCUGGGCAGGGCUGCUGAUGGGUAAAGCGCUAAUGUUGAGAAACAACUUUUAAAUUCACCACAAUGUAAGCUUCGGGAGAGCAGAAUCUUUUUGUCUGUCUGGUUUUCCGCUGAAUGCCCAUGGCCCGCCCGGCGUCGAGUCUAUCUCCAAUAUGUUUGAAAUCGAAGCACUUUUGUUCUUUCACAUCAAAACUACAAAAUCAGAAGUUAGGAAACUGUGACCUUAGGAAAUCACUAUAAGGAAAAUAACACUAGGAAAUCCACAGGGCCAGGCUUCUCAAACCGUGAUCCAGAAAUCAGGAAUGCAGAGAUCCUGUCACCUGGCUGCAUAUCACUUACUGCCAUUAUCCUGAAGCUGCCACCAGAUGCUUGGGUGGGUUUUAUAAAUUAAUCAUUGAUGAUUCCUUGCUGCCAGUUGAGCCUUGUUCCUGGAAAGCUUGUAAUUCUCUAUGACACCAAAUGGCAUCAGUUGGAAUUGAUGAGAACAGCUCCAGACUUUGUCUUUUAAAUCCUUGGAGCUAACUGAAGAAUUAGCAAAGACUAAUAAUAGAGGCUAAUAACCUUCUGAGCCUUCUUGCUGUUUGAAAGAUGAGAUUUUGUUAGUUGUUCAAUAACCAGUGAUGAUUGGUGUGCUAGAUGUUUGAUAUGCUUUUAAACUCUUUUUCAAAAUAAGAUGCUAUAUUUCUCAUUUAAUAUAUAUAGAUUCAUAUGUGAUAAAGUAACAUUUGCCCCUAUGUUCCAAAUUUCCCCCCUCUUUCGACCUGUCUUUCUACAAAUAAAUAAGCAAACAAUGAAUUACUGAUUAAAUAAGAAAUCAUUUAAUAUUAACAGCAUGAAAAUAUUUUUGUGAAUUGCAUAAACUGGAAAUACAUGUUCUAGAAUUUAUUAAAAUACUUCUGGGCAGGAGAAAUCUAUUCCUUUUUUUAGCUAUAGAAAAAGUUGUGACUUACAGCUAUAAACAUUUAUAAUUAUAACCAUGCAUAUACAGUUAUAGCUAUAGCUUGACAUUUAUUGGUUUUACAGUAAACACAAUGACACUGACAGCAUUUUUAAAAAGAGAGAGAAGAGAUGGAAUCCAAAAAUAUUAUUUUGAGACAUGAGACUGUUAGGACCAUGAGACUUCAGUUACUUGGAAAAAAAAAAAGUUCAUAUGAUAUCCUUGGUAUACCCAUGCAAUUCCUAUAGCAAAAGUAAGGAGCAUGAGCAAAUUAUGUUAUGACUAAUUCCAGGAUGCAUAACAUUUUUAUUAUUAAAGUAAAGCAGAUGUCAAAAACGUUGUCCACAGAGAAUAGGAAGUUCCAAAAUGAGGGCAUGUAAAGUGAAACUGAGUAAUGAAAUAGGCCAAACAGAACAGGAAAAUCUUUUACGUAAUAAAAUAAAAGCCUAAGCAUUUCCAAAAGAGCUAAGUAUAAAGAAAAAACAUGACAAGAAUUGAACUCUAAGAGAAUGGACACACCCAAGUGAACCUCAUAAACUUUUGCCAUCUGGAAACAUUGUGGCAUAAGUCUGUGACAUCAGUUGAGUCAGAUAGUCUCGUUUCACUUCCCAGACUGUAAAAUAUUUUUCUACAUAUUAGCAAAAUUGUAAUAUCAGUGAAAAGCUUGAGUGAGCUAGGAAUAUGGAGCCUAAUUAAAUGGAAGUAAUUAGCUUGGGUAAACAAAGAAAGCACUUUAAAUGAGUUUAAUAUAUGCACAAAUAUUUCAGCAAAACAGACCCAGUAAUAUUUAGAUGCUUUUUGGCAAAUUAGACAAAUUAACACCUUGCAUCUUUAGCUUGGGCAUACUCUUAUGUUUUCACUGAUCAUAAUUGUCUAUCAUCUAAACAUCCCUGGAUAGUGAAAAUUGCAGGCUGAAUACUAACACUUGGGGAAGAGCUGAAAGGAAACCCACUGUCUUCUUGUUGGGCAAGGCCAACUUCUAGCUGUGUUGUGCGUUGUAGCCAAAACCAAGCCUUUUACAUUUCUCAUAACCUUUUGUUCAGCCUGGAGCUGAGAUUGUGCUUUGCCAGCCAAGAAACAAAGGAAAGACUAUGAAUUCACUUAGCUUAUUUCCAAGCCAAGAAUCAUGGCUUGAUUCAAGUUAUCUUUAAGCAGCAGUUUGGGAGGCCGAGGCAGGUGGAUCACUUGAGGCUGAGACUUCGAAACCAGCCUGGCCAACUUGGUGAAACCCCAUCUCUACUAAAAAUUUAUUAAAAAUAAUUAGCCAGGCAUGGUGGCAGGUGCCUGUAAUCCCAGCUACUCAGGAGGCUGAGGCAGGAGAAUCGCUUGAACCUGGGAGGCGGAGGUUGCAGUGAGCCGAGAUCACAUCAUUGCACUCCAGCCUGGGCAACAAGAGUGAAACUCCACCUCAAGGAAAAAAUAAAUAAAUAAAAUAAAAUCUUUAAGCAAUCAGUAGUUGGUUGAGUAUUUUCAGCUUAGUAACUAGUUUUUGCUUUCAUCUGCUAUCAGCAGUCAUAUAUUCAUGAAAAGAGAUUAAAACAUUAAGUUGCUAAAUUAUUUGGGCCAAUUCCUAGUGCAGUAAUGAAACUGGGAUGUGCCUUGGGUGUUUCCAGUGAGAAGAGGCAGGGUUCCAUCCCAGCUCUGAGUCAUGCCUACUUCCAAGAAUGAAUCUAGGAGUAUUGGUUGUUGAGUCAAAUGCUAAAAGUCCCAAAAUAAAAUACUGUAUUCUAAGACUCAAAAAUGAUGAAUGGAGAGGUAAAAUGUGAAAGAGAAAGAUUUUUUUCACCUCAUGCACAGAUAAUGCUUUGUCAAAACCAACUCAUUUGUGACUCUUUUUCAUGUUUUAUUUAUUUAAUUAAGGGCCAUGAAGUUGGAAAGGUUGGGGGAAUUUUUCAAAGAAUAGGACCUUAAACAUUUAUUUUAUAUGUGUUCAUAUAGCAUAAGUUAGUACUUUAUAUAUAACAAUAGUUUUUCAAUUCUCUAUUAUAUAAACUUUCUCAUAAAGAAAAUUUCAUCAUCUAUGUUUUUCUUUUCUCAAUUCCCUGGUCAUUUAUCAUAAAUUAGUACUAUUUCUAUAAUUAUCCCAAGUGCUCUAAAUGUAAUCUGUAACUAUACUAAAUUACUCUGGUAGCUGAGGCAAAAGUACUUAGCCACUUUAGGUCAAAAUAUUUCCUGUGGAAUACAUUCAUUUGUGUUGAAGUUAAUGGACUUUGUUCUUAUCUUGAUAAUUUUUCCAUCAUAAUGUGGGAUCAGAUUUGCACCUAGUAGCAUAAAUGACUAUGUUUGUAAUGCAUGAGAUAAUAACGAGGUCACUUUGACAGUACAGAAAAAUUCCAAACUUGAUAAGAACAAUAAAAGAUACUUUGAAGUUGAGUUAGUUGAAAGUUUAUUAAAAAUGAGGCAGAUUUUUUUUAUUUUACAAAAGUAGGCUGAUAAUAUAUUAUGUUAGAGAAGUGAUACAUUUUGGAUAUGUUUCACUCCAAAUUAUACAUAAUCAGUUAAAUCCUGAGAACACAGAGCAGUAUCAAUUCUUAUAAUUCCUGUCUGUUGACACAUAAUCCAUUAGGAGUUAUUUGCUAUUAUCUUGCUUUCCUGCUGUCUUUGGCAAAAUGUAGUUGGAAGGGGUAUUAUGACAGUACAGAAUGCCAUUUUUAAGGGGAAUAAAGUAAUAUGAAUAAAACAAUUAUGUACACCAAAAUUGAGUAAAUAAUUUACAAUAAUUGUGCAGUCUCUGCAGGAAUGAAUUAUCAGACACAGCAGAAUGAGGAAUUUGAAGAAAAUCAAAUUAAAGUGAGGUAUUAAAUUAAAAAUUGUGGCAACUUAAAAUUAGAUUACAGACUGAUUCUUCCAAAGUCACCCAGACAUUAGGAAGGGUACUAUUAUUCUUUUUAAGAAGGGACUAUUGUGAGAGAUGGUUUAUAGAGAAAAAUAGAUUAAAUUCUGCAUUUAGUUAACUUUAAUUUUGUGUUAUAUCUUGUGGGUCAUAGUCACUGACAAAGAGAGAUGGUAUAAAAAACAACCACAAGCUAAUAGAUAAUAACUCUUACUAUGUGACAGCCACAGCACUACAUUCCCUACAUACACAAUCUCAUUCAAAUCUUCCAAUGACGAUUUUGAGUGGGUACUUUUAUUGUUCCCAUAACUUGACCAAGUUCACACAAAUCAAAAGUGGCAGAUCCUAGGCUUAAACUAAGAUCAGCCUCACUAAAGAACUCAGACUCUUAAACGCUAUAUUGUAUUGGCUUGUUUUUCUUACACUUGCCAUGGGGUUAUUUUAGAAUAAAAUAUGCUAUCGAAUGAAAUAUGUGAAUGGACUCUGUAAUUGCAUUCAUUUGAUUCCAUCGUUUAAAAGCUCUCUUUUUGUUUUGCUUCCUCUGAUGAGGGAAGUUCCAAGGUCAUGUUUAUUAGAGGCCUUUGAAUAGUUUAUGUAAAUGAGAAUAUCGUUUAACUGUUCUAUGCAAUACCAAUAACCAAUAUGGCUAUUUUAGACCAUUUUGUUCCACAUAACUGGUCUUAAAUAGCUGAAAGUUUUCUAUGUAAUAAACCAAUUGCGUAUGUUCUUUAAGUUUUGUCUUAAUAAAUCAAUCACUAUAUAUUUCGGUCAAACUCUUACUUUGUGCUUCGUUCAAUAAAAAUUUUCUAUAGUAAUAUUUUUCUGGAUGUUUCUGCAAAAUUACAGCAAUUUUCACAGAAUUUUGAGAUGUGAGCUCAUUAAGUCAGCUUCUUGCUUAGUGGAAGAAAAGAAAUUAUUUUGUCAAUUGUCAUUUUUUACUUUUUAUUACAGUGAUGUGGAAACCACAAUCUAAAACCAAUGUAACUAAGGUUUGAAGACAAAACCAGGAAAAAUAUCACUGAUCUCAUUUACCAUCAGUAUUUCUUUGGGCUUCUGAAGCCACUUGUUUGCUCGUUUAUCCCAAACUCAAAGGAAAUCUAGACAUAAUUAAUAUUAUAUAUUAAUAAUUU
rnacentral:lncRNA from 10 species